rnacentral:rRNA from 1 species
UACGUAGGGGGCAAGCGUUGUCCGGAUUCAUUGGGCGUAAAGGGUGCGUAGGCGGCGCGGUAAGUCGGGUGUGAAAUCUCGGGGCUUAACUCCGAAACUGCAUUCGAUACUGCCGUGCUUGAGGACUGGAGAGGAGACUGGAAUUUACGGUGUAGCGGUGAAAUGCGUAGAUAUCGUAAGGAAGACCAGUGGCGAAGGCGGGUCUCUGGACAGUUCCUGACGCUGAGGCACGAAGGCCAGGGGAGCAAACG